AAUUCAGGCUGGUGUGAACUUUAAAUUACUCCACUCUACUUAGAACUUACUUUAUGGUGAAGAUAAAGUUGUAAUCUCCUGAUUGAACAAUGAAGCUAAUGGCAGAACGCGUUCCAGGACACGAGGCUAAAGAGAGUAGGCAGGUGCCGGAGUUCCAGGAAGGUUGCCGAUCCUCUGGCCAAGGACGAUACAUGGAGUCCAUGGAAGAUGAUCAAGAGCAUCUGAUGGCAAGAAAAUCUGCCCGGAAGAAGGACAGAAGGCAGAGGUGUCUGGCACAGGACACCAGAAAAGCAGCACAUGGACUGUAAAGACUGCCCUAUAGGCAGGUUUAACACACUAUGCACACACACAUGUAAUUGUAUGAGAAACAAUGUACAUGCAGAAGAGUAUCAUUGAGUCACUAACAGAUAUUCGGUUCUAGGAAUAUAUGGGUAUUUGGUAAAAGAUCUAACUAUUACAUGCCUGAAAAUUUUGAAUGGUACUGGUACAAUGUGUAACUUGAAAUCAUUUUAUUGGAAUUGUUCCAUGUUAGCCAAAUUUGAUCAAAUAUCAAAAGGGUAUAAUUGGGAAUAUUAUGAUAGUAUAAGGAAUGCUGUCCACUUGCAGCACAAAUGGGUAUUACUAUCCAAAAUGUAAUGAUGAUUAUGAUCUUAAAGGGUACAUUAUAUUUGCAAACAACAUGUCUCUGUUAGAAUCAGACUUAUCUAGAAGUCAAUUUUGUCUAGCUGUGACUGUUCCACUUUCAUAAGGAAAGAGGUGGAUAUGAUAUCACUAAUCAUCUAUCUCUUCUACACCCCAGAAAGAAUAUAAGUUAAAGCUUUGUAAUAAUCAAUAUUGAAUGUAAUGAUAAAGAUCACAUUGGGUGAGAUGCCUGAAGUGGGUUAAAUAUCAUCAAGAUAUUAAGACUGUAAGGGACCCAAGGGGAUGAUAAUGUUGGGUCGAGGUCUUGUUUGUAUGUUCACAGAUAAUGAAAACAUCUGGUCACCCACGUCAUGCUUCAUGCCAGCUGAUACAGACCAGGAAGAGAAGCAGACGGAAGGUGAUGGCAUCAGCUACCUACAUGCCAGCCACAAUCCAGACUCGCUGGAGGGACACUUCUUUGGCUACCUGAUGGCUGUCCUUGCAGAGGCCAAGCUCCAUCUUUAAUCUUUCUCUAUUCACCUCUCUGACCUGUGUGGAAUGGAUCUCAGGACUGGAAAAGCCUACAGAAUUGGUCCUUUGAUCAGAGCUUAGCUGUGGCUCAUUGAUAAUUAAUAAAGACUCAUCCUAACCACCUCA
ensembl:lncRNA